GACGAACGCUGGCGGCGUUCUUAACACAUGCAAGUCGAACGGAAAGGCCCUGCUUUUGUGGGGUGCUCGAGUGGCGAACGGGUGAGUAACACGUGAGUAACCUGCCCUUGACUUUGGGAUAACUUCAGGAAACUGGGGCUAAUACCGGAUAGGAGCUCCUGCUGCAUGGUGGGGGUUGGAAAGUUUCGGCGGUUGGGGAUGGACUCGCGGCUUAUCAGCUUGUUGGUGGGGUAGUGGCUUACCAAGGCUUUGACGGGUAGCCGGCCUGAGAGGGUGACCGGCCACAUUGGGACUGAGAUACGGCCCAGACUCCUACGGGAGGCAGCAGUGGGGAAUAUUGCACAAUGGGCGCAAGCCUGAUGCAGCAACGCCGCGUGCGGGAUGACGGCCUUCGGGUUGUAAACCGCUUUCGCCUGUGACGAAGCGUGAGUGACGGUAAUGGGUAAAGAAGCACCGGCUAACUACGUG
rnacentral:rRNA from 1 species